rnacentral:rRNA from 1 species
AACGUAGGAGGCGAGGGUUAUCCGGGUUUACUGGGCGUAAAGCGCUUGUAGGCGGCCUUGUAAGUUGGGCGUGUAAGCUCCGGGCUUAACCCGGAGAGGCCGUCCAAUACUGCGAGGCUAGAGGGUGACAGAGGAAGGUGGAAUUCAUGGUGUAGCGGUGAAAUGCGUAGAUAUCAGGAGGAACACCCGUGGCUAAGGCGGCCUUCUGGGGCAUUCCUGACGCUGAGACGCUAAAGCUAGGGGAGCAAACAGG